GACGAACCGUGCGAACGUUGUUCGGAAUCACUGGGCUUAAAGGGCGCGUAGGCGGCCCGCCAAGUCAGGGGUGAAAGCCCCCAGCUCAACUGGGGAAGUGCCUUUGAUACUGGCGGGCUCGAGCGAGGCAGGGGUCGUGGGAACUUCCGGUGGAGCGGUGAAAUGCGUUGAUAUCGGAAGGAACGCCGGUGGCGAAAGCGCACGACUGGUCCUCUUCUGACGCUGAGGCGCGAAAGCCAGGGGAGCAAACGGG
rnacentral:rRNA from 1 species